rnacentral:rRNA from 1 species
CAAGUUUUUAAGGGCGCACGGUGGAUGCCUUGGCACCAGGAACCGAUGAAGGACGUGGGAGGCCACGAUAGUCCCCGGGGAGCUGUCAACCAAGCUUUGAUCCGGGGGUUUCCGAAUGGGGAAACCCGGCAGUCGUCAUGGGCUGUCACCCGCUGCUGAACACAUAGGCAGUGUGGAGGGAACGAGGGGAAGUGAAACAUCUCAGUACCCUCAGGAAGAGAAAACAACCGUGAUUCCGGGAGUAGUGGCGAGCGAAACUGGAUGAGGCCAAACCGUAUGCGUGUGAUACCCGGCAGGGGUUGCGCAUGCGGGGUUGUGGGAUCUCUCUUUCACAGUCUGCCGGCUGUGAGACGAGUCAGAAACCGUUGAUGUAGGCGAAGGACAUGCGAAAGGUCCGGCGUAGAGGGUAAGACCCCCGUAGCUGAAACAUCAGCGGCUUGUUUGAGAGACACCCAAGUAGCACGGGGCCCGAGAAAUCCCGUGUGAAUCUGGCGGGACCACCCGCUAAGCCUAAAUAUUCCCUGGUGACCGAUAGCGGAUAGUACCGUGAGGGAAUGGUGAAAAGUACCGCGGGAGCGGAGUGAAAUAGUACCUGAAACCGUGUGCCUACAAGCCGUGGGAGCGUCGCGCAUCGAGCUUGCUCGGUGCGUCGUGACUGCGUGCCUUUUGAAGAAUGAGCCUGCGAGUUAGCGGUGUGUAGCGAGGUUAACCCGUGUGGGGAAGCCGUAGCGAAAGCGAGUCCGAACAGGGCGUUUGAGUUGCACGCUCUAGACCCGAAGCGGAGUGAUCUAGCCAUGGGCAGGUUGAAGCGGAGGUAAGACUUCGUGGAGGACCGAACCCACCAGGGUUGAAAACCUGGGGGAUGACCUGUGGUUAGGGGUGAAAGGCCAAUCAAACUCCGUGAUAGCUGGUUCUCCCCGAAAUGCAUUUAGGUGCAGCGUCGUGUGUUUCUUGCCGGAGGUAGAGCACUGGAUAGGCGAUGGGCCCUACCGGGUUACUGACCUUAGCCAAACUCCGAAUGCCGGUAAGUGAGAGCGCGGCAGUGAGACUGUGGGGGAUAAGCUCCAUGGUCGAGAGGGAAACAGCCCAGAGCAUCGACUAAGGCCCCUAAGCGUACGCUAAGUGGGAAAGGAUGUGGAGUCGCAGAGACAACCAGGAGGUUGGCUUAGAAGCAGCCACCCUUGAAAGAGUGCGUAAUAGCUCACUGGUCAAGUGAUUCCGCGCCGACAAUGUAGCGGGGCUCAAGCGUACCGCCGAAGUCGUGUCAUUCACACAUAUAGGGCCAACGCCUGUGUGGAUGGGUAGGGGAGCGUCGUGUGCCGGGUGAAGCAGCCGCGGAAGCGAGUUGUGGACGGUUCACGAGUGAGAAUGCAGGCAUGAGUAGCGAUACACACGUGAGAAACGUGUGCGCCGAUUGACUAAGGGUUCCUGGGUCAAGCUGAUCUGCCCAGGGUAAGUCGGGACCUAAGGCGAGGCCGACAGGCGUAGUCGAUGGACAACCGGUUGAUAUUCCGGUACCCGCUUUGAAACGCCCAGUACUGAAUCAGGCGAUGCUAAGUCCGUGAAGCCGGCCCGAUCUCUUCGGAGUUGAGGGUAGUGGUGGAGCCGAUGAACCAGACUUGUAGUAGGUAAGCGAUGGGGUGACGCAGGAAGGUAGUCCAGCCCGGGCGGUGGUUGUCCCGGGGUAAGGGUGUAGGACGCACGGUAGGCAAAUCCGUCGUGCAUAUAGUCUGAGACCUGAUGCCGAGCCGAUUGUGGUGAAGUGGAUGAUCCUAUGCUGUCGAGAAAAGCCUCUAGCGAGUUUCAUGGCGGCCCGUACCCUAAACCGACUCAGGUGGUCAGGUAGAGAAUACCGAGGCGUUCGGGUGAACUAUGGUUAAGGAACUCGGCAAAAUGCCCCCGUAACUUCGGGAGAAGGGGGGCCAUCAC